rnacentral:rRNA from 1 species
CCUACGGGUGGCAGCAGUGGGGAAUCUUGCGCAAUGGGGGAAACCCUGACGCAGCAACGCCGCGUGGGUGAUGAAGGCCUUCGGGUCGUAAAGCCCUGUCAGGUGGUGAACAACCAUUCUGUUUGACGGUACCCUCAAAGGAAGCACCGGCUAACUCCGUGCCAGCAGCCGCGGUAAUACGGAGGGUGCGAGCGUUGUUCGGAAUUAUUGGGCGUAAAGCGCGUGUAGGCGGUUUGUUAAGUCUGAUGUGAAAGCCCCGGGCUCAACCUGGGAAGUGCAUUGGAUACUGGCAGACUUGAGUACGGGAGAGGAGAGUGGAAUUCCCAGUGUAGGAGUAAAAUCCGUAGAUAUUGGGAGGAACACCGGUGGCGAAGGCGGCUCUCUGGACCGAUACUGACGCUGAGACGCGAAAGCGUGGGGAGCAAACAGGAUUAGAUACCCCUGUAGU